rnacentral:rRNA from 2 species
GCGGAGCGUUUGAAAAGCUUGCUUUUCAAAACUUAGCGGCGGACGGGUGAGUAACACGUGGGCAACCUGCCCUUGAGACGGGGAUAACUCCGGGAAACCGGAGCUAAUACCGGAUAACACAUAUCUUCGCAUGAGGAUAUGUUAGAAGGUGGCUUUUAGCUACCACUCAAGGAUGGGCCCGCGGCGCAUUAGCUAGUUGGUGAGGUAACGGCUCACCAAGGCGACGAUGCGUAGCCGACCUGAGAGGGUGAUCGGCCACACUGGGACUGAGACACGGCCCAGACUCCUACGGGAGGCAGCAGUAGGGAAUCUUCCGCAAUGGACGAAAGUCUGACGGAGCAACGCCGCGUGAGUGAUGAAGGUUUUCGGAUCGUAAAGCUCUGUUGUUAGGGAAGAACAAGUAUCUGUUGAAUAAGCAGGUACCUUGACGGUACCUAACCAGAAAGCCACGGCUAACUACGUGCCAGCAGCCGCGGUAAUACGUAGUGGCAAGCGUUGUCCGGAAUUAUUGGGCGUAAAGCGCGCGCAGGCGGUUCCUUAAGUCUGAUGUGAAAGCCCACGGCUCAACCGUGGAGGGUCAUUGGAAACUGGGGAACUUGAGUGCAGAAGAGGAGAGCGGAAUUCCACGUGUAGCGGUGAAAUGCGUAGAGAUGUGGAGGAACACCAGUGGCGAAGGCGGCUCUCUGGUCUGUAACUGACGCUGAGGCGCGAAAGCGUGGGGAGCGAACAGGAUUAGAUACCCUGGUAGUCCACGCCGUAAACGAUGAGUGCUAAAGUGUUAGAGGGGUUUCCGCCCUUUAGUGCUGCA